rnacentral:rRNA from 1 species
GAUGAACGCUGGCGACGUGGAUAAGGCAUGCAAGUCAAACGGCUCUUCGGAGCAGUGGCGAACGAGGUAGUAACACGUGGGUAUGAACCCGGAAGUCAGGAAUAACUAUUCGAAAGAAUAGCUAAUACUUGAUAGUCUCUACGGAGUAAAGAUUUAUCGCUUCCGGCUCAACCUGCGGGAUAUCAGCUUGUUGGUAAGGUAAUGGCUUACCAAGGCUAUGACGUCUAGGGGAGGUGAGAGCCUGACCCCCACCGAUGGUACUGAGACACGGACCAUACACCUACGGGUGGCCGCAGUCGAGAAUCUUCCGCAAUGGACGAAAGUCUGACGGAGCGACGUCGCGUGAUCGAUGAAGUCCUUCGGGAUGUAAAGGUCUUUUCUAAAGGAGGAAGUAUAUUGACGUUACUUUAGGAAUAAGGGGUUGCUAAACUCG